AUACGGAGGGGGUUAGCGUUGUUCGGAAUUACUGGGCGUAAAGCGCACGUAGGCGGAUUGGAAAGUUGGGGGUGAAAUCCCAGGGCUCAACCCUGGAACUGCCUCCAAAACUAACAGUCUAGAGUUCGAGAGAGGUGAGUGGAAUUCCAAGUGUAGAGGUGAAAUUCGUAGAUAUUUGGAGGAACACCAGUGGCGAAGGCGGCUCACUGGCUCGAUACUGACGCUGAGGUGCGAAGGCUAGGGGAGCAAACAGGAUUAGAUACCCCGGUAGUCC
rnacentral:rRNA from 1 species